CCGACUAAGUGGACUCAGAGUGGACUCAAUGAAUGAAGUUCAUCCGGCUGUGCCAUCAAUUUUUGAAACUAUAUCAGCCAGUGGCGGAUCCAGAGGUAGUUUGUUGGGUUCGUACAAACUACCCUUCCACUAAGUUGAUACUUUAUAUUUAAUACACCUGGCUAGCUAGCUUACUGUACUGUACUGUCACGACAAUAGGGUACAAAGUUCUCUCUGCAUAAUGUGAGGGUGGGGCUGGUACUCUCUGCAUAAUAUGAGGGUGGGGCUGGCUAUAUUGACUCAUCCAGCCACACGGUCGCAGUGAUAAUUGAGCCUGGCCAUGAAUCCUAACAAAAGGCUAGAUUGCAACCCUCCAUUGACUCCUGGUUUAAGAAGAGCAAAGUUUCAGAUGAUGCGUCAAGUCUACAGCCAGUCUCCUCUUCAAGAGAAUCACCAGCCACCAUCGUCACUCCUCCAGUCACAACCAUUUCUCCUCCAGUCACAACUAUCUCUCCACUGGAACCACCAGCCACCUCCAUCACCCCUCCGUGUUCAUCGAAAUGAUCGAAGCAAGCAACGAGAUCUUCCGCUGAGGAUCAGCCAAUGGACAUUGGUGCUCUCCUGAAAGAGAACAAAGUGCAAUCACUAUCCCAGAGCAUGAGAAUGGCUUUGCCUUGUGUUCUUUCAGAUAUUAUAUAAUUGUUUUUGUUGAAGGGGAAUGUGGUUAAUUAAUGGGCGUGACAUGUAAAAGGGGGCGUGGUUAGCCCAAAAAUUUCGGCGCUAUGCGCCGAGUGACAUUUCUUGUCUGCGCGAAGCGCGGACAAGAAGUAAGAACCCCCCUUCCCUAAAUCCGCCCCUGUCAGCCGCUAUUAGUCUCUUUCAAGCAACCUUGAGAGGAGGGAGAAGUGAGUAGUAAAAAUUACCUAGCUUGAUUUUUCUAGCUAGAAUCUCAGUGCUCAGUGGUAGAUCUACUGCAUGCAAUCGAUCAGGAGUGCAUCAUUCAAGCACUCAUGCAUGGUGCAAUCUGCCCAGUUCCAAUCCUGCUGAAUCCUCGUCAGGCCGGUGUACCAUGGACGAAAGCACAACACAAACGUGGAUGCUCUCUCUAAGAUUGAGGAAGAAGCAUGUGAAGAAUCUCCAAGCAGAUUCACUCAUUGUAGUCUAGCUACGCUGUAUACCUCAUUCGAUAUUGCGUUAAUUUGUUUGGAGUUAUCCAGUAUCAUAUCCAUGGUUGAAGUUUAGUCUAGGAGCCAGACUUUUUCUCAGAGGGGGAAGGGGGAAGAGAUAAAGAAGGUCUGGAGACUCUUGCAGCACUUCUGUGUGCUCUUGGAAUGUCAAUAGGGAGAGACUGUGAUAUUGGAGGUUAUAAAGAAGGAGUAGAUGUAGCAAUACUCUCAUUUCAUUGGCUGUAUCUAAAGUGUUUCAUGGGUUAAAAAUCACAUGACAUAGGAUAUGCAUUUCAUUGGCUCUGGCCACAUUCCGCUAAGAGUCUCCAGACCUAAUCCUAGCUCUAUUGAUUUUGCCCCGAGCUAUUAGGUCUGGCCCCCAGACUAUAAUUGAAGGCCUCCGGUCAAAAACGGUGAUAAAACGCAUUCCGUAUAUUUCGAGAAAACGGAGGUCAAAGUUCGCGACCAAAAUUGGUUGCGACCUUUGACCUUUAUUAAAAACUAUCAUAACUUUCUAGCUAGUUACUUUUGACUGUUCAUAUUGCAGCUGGAGCUUCUUUGAUCUAUGCAGAUUGAAGUUGUUGCCAAGUAAGUCGGAGUGGACACUUCCCCUUCCAGAUGAUGGCACCUGGAAGAUACUUUGAAAUAAUUAUCUGUACCAGAAUUCUCUGAUGAAGACACCUAUUGUGAAGUGGUUCACCAUGCAGAAUGUCUCUCUCUCUCUCUCUCUCUCUCGCAUGCAUGCAACCAUAGAUCUACGAUGCAACUGAGAUCUAAAAAGAGGGGAAAAAGCUCUGCUUCAAAAUUUGGAGGUUAUUAACUGUAUGUAUAAUGCAGUGGGAAGUCAUGCCAUAACAAGGAAGUAAACUGUACAUGCACAUAUACGUACGUAUGGCUGCGGGCUUACAACUUACCAAUCAGUGUUGCUACGACAAUGAUGACAAUGAUGAUUAUAGCAAUGAUGGAUAUCAGAAUCAUCCAUAACUGUUAAAAUGAAACAUUUAUUAUUCCAGCAUUUAAUGAUUAUUUUGUUAUUAUUAUAUACCUUGUAAUGUUCCCACUUCUUUUUCUCGUGAACCUUAGUCGCACCUUUUUUGAAUUCAUCACCUGUCUCCUUUAGUGCUUCUGUAGUUAGAUUGCAACAUUUUUAUGGAUUUAUUAUACAUAUUAUACAUGCAGUUUAACAACAUGAUUGUGAUCAUCAAUCAACUCACUAGCCUUGUCGUCAAGCUUUUCUAAGUUGGUUUGUCUUUCUUCUAGUUUGGUCAUAUUUUGAACCAUUUUCCCUUUGAUCUAGUAGUGUAUGGAACACAAUAAUUAUUAUUAUCGUAUAGCGGGUAAUUUUCGUGAGUAGUGUUUGCUUCAUUACGUGUGCACAAUUACAUUACAAUAAUCACAAUUCACAUCACAAUUUCAUUACGUGCUGCAAUGCAUGCGUUAUGGUAAACCACGCCUACGUUUUCGUGAGUGAAAUUUUUGUUGAGGUCAGCUAGCUUGCCCACAAAAAUACCCCGCAAAAAUUACCCACUAAAUGGUAUUAUUUGCCAAAUUGCUUUGGGGGAAAAUGGCAGAAUGCAACAGUGAUCCUUCGUAAGCGCUUGAGAAAUGUGAAUAUAAUUAUAUGUAUAACAACCCUCAUUAGCUCCUAGCUGAUAAUGCUACAGGUAUUCACUGACCUAAUAAGUUGUAAUUACAUUAUACACAUUUAGAACACGCAUGGUGGGACAUUAAUUAUAUAAUUAUACCUCCUCGGUAGUUUUGAUCAGGUGAGUCACCUCAGAGUCUUGUAAGGCCCUGUGUCAAAUGUGCACAUACACAGUUGCUGCUGAUAGCUAACAUAUACAACAUUCAACUCACAUUUU